rnacentral:lncRNA from 1 species
UCUCAUUGUAUUUGAUGGAUAUUUAACAAUAAAAAAAAAUGUUUGAAAGUAUGAUUUUUUGAUAAUUAAUUUUGAAUAAGUAUGAGAAUGAAGAUGAAAAAGAUGGUACUAUGGAAGAAAAAAAUCCGUAACGUGAUUGUGAUUACAAGCCAUGAUAUGGUGUUCGAAGCAUCUUUCAAUGCCAAGCACAUGCGUAUUAUCUUCAAUUUGUGUUCCAUAGACCAUACCAUAUUACAUCACAACAUUAGCAAGACAUCAUAGUUUGCUCUGUAGUGUAGUGACUAUGUUGAUUUAUCUCCAUAGCUUGUCACUCACUUGCUCUGGAGUGUUG